GACGGAGGAUGCAAGUGUUAUCCGGAAUCACUGGGCGUAAAGCGUAUGUAGGCGGCUAAGUAAGUCAGGCGUGCAAGCCCGUGGCUCAACCACGGAAUUGCGUUUGAAACUGUUUAGCUUGAGUGCAGGAGAGGAAAGCGGAAUUCCCAGUGUAGCGGUGAAAUGCAUUGAUAUUGGGAAGAACAUCUGUGGCGAAGGCGGCUUUCUGGUCUGUUGCUGACGCUGAGAUACGAAAGCCAGGGUAGCGAACGGG
rnacentral:rRNA from 1 species